AAAAAACACAUCAGGUGUAGAAGAUGUGUUCAAAAAUAGAAAAGGACUACCCUUGAACUAUGAACUCUCUUCAAGAAAGUCUGGACUCUAAUGAGAAUGAAAGUGUGAAAACUAGAAAUACUUUGCGGCUUGCAGUAGUGGUUAAGGUCCCUAUGGUAAGUGUUCAUUACAAGGAAUGUACAGAAGAAUACACAUGGAGCAUAAGUGACAGAAAGCGUGGGGCUUUCACUAAAACUGAAUCAUACAGCAACUGAAUGAACAACAAAAUCGGAAUUUAAGUGUUUUCCCCAGCUUGGAAAGAAACUUUUGAGGUGCCCCAACCUUUAGCAAGAUAAAGAAUCCAGUAAGAGUCAUAUAAACACAGGACAGUACACACUUACCCCGAUGGUAACUGGACCAGCUA